UAGGGAAUCUUCGGCAAUGGGCGAAAGCCUGACCGAGCAACGCCGCGUGGGUGAAGAAGGCCUUCGGGUUGUAAAGCCCUUUUGUACGGGAAGAAAAGCUGCGGGUUAAUACCCUGUGGCCAUGACGGUACCGUAAGAAUAAGCACCGGCUAACUUCGUGCCAGCAGCCGCGGUAAUACGAAGGGUGCAAGCGUUGUUCGGAAUUACUGGGCGUAAAGCGCGUGUAGGCGGGUCGUUAAGUUGGGGGUGAAAUCCCGAGGCUCAACCUCGGAACUGCCUUCAAAACUGGCGACCUGGACUCAAGUAGAGGCAAGUGGAAUUGCGAGUGUAGAGGUGAAAUUCGUAGAUAUUCGCAGGAACACCAGUGGCGAAGGCGACUUGCUGGACUUGUAGUGACGCUGAGACGCGAAAGCGUGGGGAGCAA
rnacentral:rRNA from 1 species